GCCUCCUGUCCAGCUCACUUGAGUGGAGACACUCAACACAGCAGGAUGUUCUUAUGCUGUUCCCCAACUUUCUGAAUCUUUGGCUCCUAGAAAGCUGAGAAUGAGAGCCUCUUCAGUUGCUGUAGACAAUGGCUCAGCUCUCACAUCCAAUGUCUCUGGCCAUGUGGCAGGAGGAACCCUCAGAGCUGCCCCCAGAAAUGGUCGAGGAACUGGUGGAUGGUUUCAACUACACCACCUCCCUGGACAGGAGGCAGGUGCACCAGGCCACCAACAAUGACCAAGUGUGAAGAUGACCCCACUGUGAAUUUAAAUGAGACCUGCAGGAUGCGUGCCCUCCAGGCAGGCCCAAUGGAAACUCCGACAGAGUCCAUGGCACCAGCCUUAAUGGGUAGAAACAUCUCAAAUGUCACCACCUUUGUGUUCAACUACUCAGCCUUCAAUAUAUCCCACCUGGUCUUGGACCAGCUGUUCCCUAGCACCAUCUCUACUCUGAUGGGAACCUGCCUGCAGGUUUUCCUGCCAUGCAGGAUUUCUGGAAGCCUCUGCACUUCAGGAUGAAGCUGGCCCAUGUACAUGUGAGCUCGCCUGCCUCAGAGCUGGAGGGCCACGCCUCCCUCCUCCAAGUCCAGCUGGAGGCUCCAGAGCCCGUGGAGGCAGAGCUGAAAGGACCAUCUCCAGAGCUCCCACCAGCUCCAGAGCCAGAGCAGGGGCCAGCUCCAUGGCCCAGGCCAGCUCCAGCUCUAGUUCUACUACCUGUGCUAGAGCUGGAGCAAGUGUCACCUCCAUCAGCCCCUCCAGGGCCAGAGCCAUGCCAACAACAGCUCCAGCCCCAGGGCCAGAUCCAGCUGGAGCCCGCUGGACCCUUGUCUCCAGGGAGAAUUCUACCUCCAUGUGGAGAGAGAACAUCAGAGCCGGAUCCAGCCCCAGAGCCCACCUCCCCCCGGGCUGUGACCACCAAGAGCCUGCUGUGGGAGGAGAAGCCUGACUUCCUGGGGUUCCCUCCCCAGCUGAUUGCAGAGCAAUUUACACUGAUGGAUGCGGGGCUGUUCAAGCAAGUGAUGCCCCACCACUGCCUGGACCCCAUCUGAUCCCCAUGGGACAACAUGGGCAAUGAGCACCUGGCACCCACCAUCUGUGCCACCGUCACCCAGUUUAUCACAGUGGUCAACUGUGUUGUCACCACCUGCCUGGGAGACCUGAGCAUGACAGCCCAGGACAGGGCCAGGGUGGUGGAGCUCUGGAUCCAGGUGUCCAAGGCGUGCCAAGGCCUGAGGAAGUUUCCUUCACUCCACGCCAUCCUCUCUGCUCUGCAGAGCUGCACAAUCCAUCGGCUCAAAAAGACAUGGGGACACGUUUCCAGGAAGAGCUCUCAAAAAUUUAAAAAACCGCUCAGAGUGUGAGCAGGAAGCUGCUCAUGGAGGAAGCAACCUCUUUGUUGGAGAUCCUGGAGAUGGGCCCCUGGGGAGCCCAGGUGAGGCAGCAGCAGCAGGUGAGGGUGCCUGCAGGUGAGUGGUCCAUGUGUCCGAGGAGAGGGGGCUCCACCCUCACAGCUGGAGGUCUCCACCCAGAGGGGGCUCCCACCUCCUCCAGCCCAGCUCCUGGCCCCAAGAGCCUGAACUGCCUGCAUUGGAAGUGAGCAGGAGGAGGCCUGGCAGUGCUGGGCCCAGGAGGGACUUGGGGUGGGGAGGGGCAGGGACCAUGUUCCCUGGGAUUUGCCAAAAGCCAACCCUGGGAGGUGAUGGGGGAGACUGGUAUUCCUGGAGGGGUCUCCUGGGGGAGACUGCUGAGGGUUCUGGCUGCUCUAUGUGGGAGUCUGGGGUAGGCAGGAGGCUGGAGUGAGGGUUUUCGGGGGAGGGUCCAUGGGGACACUUGAGUGCCAGGAUUCAUCACCACGCCCACCCUGAUGGCACAGUGUGUCAUCCCCUUCCUGCACUCACUCCUCCAUUACCUGCAGCUGCUGGACACUGAGAUGGAGGAUUGUCUGCAGGUGAGUGAGGCUGGAGGCGGGGCCAGGUGAGAGCCCCACACUAGGUCCUGAGCUCUCAGCUCUUGGCAAACCUCCUCUCCUGAGAGCCUCCUGGCCGCCCCUGGAGCUGGGGCCUCAGGCCCAUCUUAGUGAUGUGGGAACCAAAGCUCCGCAUAAGCCCCCCUCCAGGCUCCCUGGGCUGGGGGAGCUCAGAGCUGCCUGACUGCAGAGCCACAGGAGGUGGUGUCAGAGCUGGACUCAGCCUCUCCCUCAGGCCCCACCCCUGGGGGAGUGAAGACAGCCCCUGCAAGUCAGGAAGCACAUCCGUGGUCCAGCUGUCCCUCCCUGCACGAGGCCUCAGUCUCCCUGUCUGUCAUCAGAGAGGGUUGGGCUACAGUCUCUGGCCUCAGUGCCCCUGUCCCCCCUGCGCUGGAGCCCAGAGCCUGGCCCAGGUUCAGGCUCUCCUUGUGGCAGUGUCUGCCCUCUGCCAGGCCCUGGCAGUCCUGCAACCUGGGAAGGGGUGGGCUGGGGGCUAGUCAUGGGCCAAGGGGGCUGUUUCUGAUGGACAUUGGCUGUCUGCCUUCGAGGGAAAUAUGGUGAACUUCCAGAAAUGGAGUGAGGUGAGCAGUCGUGCCCUCGAUGCGGGGAGGGUGGGGCUGUGGAAAUCAGAGACCUCCCCUGGCAAAACUUUCUCUGGCCUCAUCCUUUAUGUGUUAGAGAGUUAGAUACAGGCAGCUGGGAAUCCCAUCACAUUGGUGGGUGGGAGGAGGGGCUGACAUCAAGGACACCUUCCUGGAUGAGGAACUAGUUCAACCCAACUGUGAGAAAAGGCAAGUCCUGAAUGGAGUGGGAGGGAAGGAGGGUUCCCAGUGAGCAAAGACCCCAGAGCCGCUCCUCACUACCCACAAGUUCCUGGCUGGGUUCCCCACCCAGGGCCUGUCUGCAUCCUGUCCUUCCUCCCAGAAAUUCAAGGUCAUUAAAAGGAUCCAGCUGCUCCAAGAGGCUGCCAAUGAACGCCACCUGAAGCCUGAGGAGUAAUUUGGGGCCUGGUUCCAGGCCAUGGAGCCCCUCCGUGAGGAUGAGAGCUACAGCCUGUCCUGCCAGCUGGAGCCCCCAGACCUGAAGGUGAGCAAAAUGUGAGGCUUCUUCAGGACCAAGAAGAACCGGCCAUCCUCAAGAUUGGGGCUGACUGCCAUGCCCUUGGCAAGGGGCCGUCACACUCAGGAGACCACCACCAGUUCAGCCGCUUCUCCAGCAGCAGGGACACAGCUGGGAAGCUUGGAGUACACUGGGCCAGCUUGUAGUGAAUUGAUACUGCUCUGAGCUCACCCUGAGAACCCACCCGAUGACCAGGAGCUAAAAUGUUACCACCCAGCUUUUUGAACAUCAUGCCCUGGAAACACCCUGCAAGACAAGGGUCACGUGAAUGCCUUGAGUAAUUACUAUGUGUUCGAUGCUGCGAGCAAGGUGAAUGCAUUUCCACAUCUCCAGAUCUAGUGCGGGAAUGAAGGCACUAAGCUGGCUGCCAAGAUUCUCUAAGUGGCAAAUAAUGCCCCACGGAGUAUGGUCAUUGCUAAGAUUCCAAAAUCAAAGCUAGACAAGUUUGCCAGGGAAGAAAUCAGAGACAUGGAUCAGUGUGUCAGGUGUCCGGACCAUCAGUAUGCCAACAGAGAGCGAGACCACUGCCUUCAAAACGUUGUGACCUUUCUGGCUUAUGAAGACCCCUUGGGGACGGCCCUGGCCUGCACAGCUCUCUCUUUCUCUGGCCUCACAGCUGUGGUCCUGGGGAUCUUUGUGAAGCACCGAGACACUCCCACAGUCAAGGCCAAUAAUCGGACUCUCAGCUACAUCCUGCUCACCUCCCUCACCCUGUGCUUCCUCUGCUCCUUACUCUUCAUCAGUCAUCCCAACACAGCCACCUGCAUUCUUCAACAAAUCGCAUUUGGAGUUGUUUUUACUGUGGCUGUUUCUGCUGUCUUGGCCAAAACUCUCACUGUGCUUGUGGCCUUCAAGGUGACAAAUAAAAAUGGCAAGUAAUAGGA